rnacentral:rRNA from 1 species
UACGCUUGUUGGUGAGUAUGGCUCACCAAGGCGACGACGGGUAGCCGGCCUGAGAGGGCGACCGGCCACACUGGGACUGAGACACGGCCCAGACUCCUACGGGAGGCAGCAGUGGGGAAUAUUGCACAAUGGGCGAAAGCCUGAUGCAGCGACGCCGCGUGAGGGAUGACGGCCUUCGGGUUGUAAACCUCUUUCAGCAGGGAAGAAGCGAAAGUGACGGUACCUGCAGAAGAAGCGCCGGCUAACUACGUGCCAGCAGCCGCGGUAAUACGUAGGGCGCGAGCGUUGUCCGGAAUUAUUGGGCGUAAAGAGCUCGUAGGCGGCUUGUCGCGUCGGUUGUGAAAGCCCGGGGCUUAACCCCGGGUCUGCAGUCGAUACGGGCAGGCUAGAGUUCGGUAGGGGAGAUCGGAAUUCCUGGUGUAGCGGUGAAAUGCGCAGAUAUCAGGAGGAACACCGGGUGCGAAGGCGGAUCUCUGGGCCGAUAGUGACGC